AGCGAACGCUGGCGGCAGGCCUAACACAUGCAAGUCGAACGAACUCUUCGGAGUUAGUGGCGGACGGGUGAGUAACACGUGGGAACGUGCCUUUUGGUUCGGAAUAACUCAGGGAAACUUGUGCUAAUACCGAAUGUGCCCUUCGGGGGAAAGAUUUAUCGCCAUUAGAGCGGCCCGCGUCUGAUUAGCUAGUUGGUGAGGUAACGGCUCACCAAGGCGACGAUCAGUAGCUGGUCUGAGAGGAUGACCAGCCACACUGGGACUGAGACACGGCCCAGACUCCUACGGGAGGCAGCAGUGGGGAAUCUUGCGCAAUGGGCGAAAGCCUGACGCAGCCAUGCCGCGUGAAUGUUGAAGGUCUUAGGAUUGUAAAAUUCUUUCACCGGGGACGAUAAUGACGGUACCCGGAGAAGAAGCCCCGGCUAACUUCGUG
rnacentral:rRNA from 1 species